rnacentral:rRNA from 1 species
GGUUAAGCGACUAAGCGUACACGGUGGAUGCCCUGGCAGUCAGAGGCGAUGAAGGACGUGCUAAUCUGCGAUAAGCGUCGGUAAGGUGAUAUGAACCGUUAUAACCGGCGAUUUCCGAAUGGGGAAACCCAGUGUGUUUCGACACACUAUCAUUAACUGAAUCCAUAGGUUAAUGAGGCGAACCGGGGGAACUGAAACAUCUAAGUACCCCGAGGAAAAGAAAUCAACCGAGAUUCCCCCAGUAGCGGCGAGCGAACGGGGAGCAGCCCAGAGUCUGAAUCAGUGUGUGUGUUAGUGGAAGCGUCUGGAAAGGCGCGCGAUACAGGGUGACAGCCCCGUACACAAAAAUGCACAUGCUGUGAGCUCGAUGAGUAGGGCGGGACACGUGGUAUCCUGUCUGAAUAUGGGGGGACCAUCCUCCAAGGCUAAAUACUCCUGACUGACCGAUAGUGAACCAGUACCGUGAGGGAAAGGCGAAAAGAACCCCGGCGAGGGGAGUGAAAAAGAACCUGAAACCGUGUACGUACAAGCAGUGGGAGCCUCUUUAUGGGGUGACUGCGUACCUUUUGUAUAAUGGGUCAGCGACUUAUAUUCUGUAGCAAGGUUAACCGAAUAGGGGAGCCGAAGGGAAACCGAGUCUUAACUGGGCGUUAAGUUGCAGGGUAUAGACCCGAAACCCGGUGAUCUAGCCAUGGGCAGGUUGAAGGUUGGGUAACACUAACUGGAGGACCGAACCGACUAAUGUUGAAAAAUUAGCGGAUGACUUGUGGCUGGGGGUGAAAGGCCAAUCAAACCGGGAGAUAGCUGGUUCUCCCCGAAAGCUAUUUAGGUAGCGCCUCGUGAAUUCAUCUCCGGGGGUAGAGCACUGUUUCGGCAAGGGGGUCAUCCCGACUUACCAACCCGAUGCAAACUGCGAAUACCGGAGAAUGUUAUCACGGGAGACACACGGCGGGUGCUAACGUCCGUCGUGAAGAGGGAAACAACCCAGACCGCCAGCUAAGGUCCCAAAGUCAUGGUUAAGUGGGAAACGAUGUGGGAAGGCCCAGACAGCCAGGAUGUUGGCUUAGAAGCAGCCAUCAUUUAAAGAAAGCGUAAUAGCUCACUGGUCGAGUCGGCCUGCGCGGAAGAUGUAACGGGGCUAAACCAUGCACCGAAGCUGCGGCAGCGACGCUUAUGCGUUGUUGGGUAGGGGAGCGUUCUGUAAGCCUGUGAAGGUGUGCUGUGAGGCAUGCUGGAGGUAUCAGAAGUGCGAAUGCUGACAUAAGUAACGAUAAAGCGGGUGAAAAGCCCGCUCGCCGGAAGACCAAGGGUUCCUGUCCAACGUUAAUCGGGGCAGGGUGAGUCGACCCCUAAGGCGAGGCCGAAAGGCGUAGUCGAUGGGAAACAGGUUAAUAUUCCUGUACUUGGUGUUACUGCGAAGGGGGGACGGAGAAGGCUAUGUUGGCCGGGCGACGGUUGUCCCGGUUUAAGCGUGUAGGCUGGUUUUCCAGGCAAAUCCGGAAAAUCAAGGCUGAGGCGUGAUGACGAGGCACUACGGUGCUGAAGCAACAAAUGCCCUGCUUCCAGGAAAAGCCUCUAAGCAUCAGGUAACAUCAAAUCGUACCCCAAACCGACACAGGUGGUCAGGUAGAGAAUACCAAGGCGCUUGAGAGAACUCGGGUGAAGGAACUAGGCAAAAUGGUGCCGUAACUUCGGGAGAAGGCACGCUGAUAUGUAGGUGAAGUCCCUCGCGGAUGGAGCUGAAAUCAGUCGAAGAUACCAGCUGGCUGCAACUGUUUAUUAAAAACACAGCACUGUGCAAACACGAAAGUGGACGUAUACGGUGUGACGCCUGCCCGGUGCCGGAAGGUUAAUUGAUGGGGUCAGCGCAAGCGAAGCUCUUGAUCGAAGCCCCGGUAAACGGCGGCCGUAACUAUAACGGUCCUAAGGUAGCGAAAUUCCUUGUCGGGUAAGUUCCGACCUGCACGAAUGGCGUAAUGAUGGCCAGGCUGUCUCCACCCGAGACUCAGUGAAAUUGAACUCGCUGUGAAGAUGCAGUGUACCCGCGGCAAGACGGAAAGACCCCGUGAACCUUUACUAUAGCUUGACACUGAACAUUGAGCCUUGAUGUGUAGGAUAGGUGGGAGGCUUGGAAGUGUGGACGCCAGUCUGCAUGGAGCCGACCUUGAAAUACCACCCUUUAAUGUUUGAUGUUCUAACGUUGACCCGUAAUCCGGGUUGCGGACAGUGUCUGGUGGGUAGUUUGACUGGGGCGGUCUCCUCCUAAAGAGUAACGGAGGAGCACGAAGGUUGGCUAAUCCUGGUCGGACAUCAGGAGGUUAGUGCAAUGGCAUAAGCCAGCUUGACUGCGAGCGUGACGGCGCGAGCAGGUGCGAAAGCAGGUCAUAGUGAUCCGGUGGUUCUGAAUGGAAGGGCCAUCGCUCAACGGAUAAAAGGUACUCCGGGGAUAACAGGCUGAUACCGCCCAAGAGUUCAUAUCGACGGCGGUGUUUGGCACCUCGAUGUCGGCUCAUCACAUCCUGGGGCUGAAGUAGGUCCCAAGGGUAUGGCUGUUCGCCAUUUAAAGUGGUACGCGAGCUGGGUUUAGAACGUCGUGAGACAGUUCGGUCCCUAUCUGCCGUGGGCGCUGGAGAACUGAGGGGGGCUGCUCCUAGUACGAGAGGACCGGAGUGGACGCAUCACUGGUGUUCGGGUUGUCAUGCCAAUGGCACUGCCCGGUAGCUAAAUGCGGAAGAGAUAAGUGCUGAAAGCAUCUAAGCACGAAACUUGCCCCGAGAUGAGUUCUCCCUGACUCCUUGAGAGUCCUGAAGGAACGUUGAAGACGACGACGUUGAUAGGCCGGGUGUGUAAGCGCAGCGAUGCGUUGAGCUAACCGGUACUAAUGAACCGUGAGGCUUAACCUU